GUUAACUCACUUCUCUUAUCAGCAAUCAACAAACUGUUGUCCUUCUGAGGGAACUCUAAAAGGUUCUAUCUUGGACCCCUUUAGAAAAAUUCUGAACAGACCAAAGAACCCUUUAUGAUCUAGUGUAGAGCUAGAAAACAAAUCCUAGGUGUAAACAAUUUGGGUGACUGAUGAUGUUCCUGAUUAUUUGAUCAUACAAUGUUUAUAAAAGAUUAAAUCUAGAACUCCUAAUGCUUUUUGGAGGAAAGCUAGAACCAUUUUGUCUAAUCAUCUAGCUAUAAAUAUAAGUAUACUAUAAGUAAAUAUAAGUAAAGCAUCUCUGCUAUCUUUCUUCCCUUAACAAUAAUUAACCAAUCACAGCUUCACAUAUUUACACAGGUUCUUUGGUUUUUCCCUCUGGGGUAAACCUUAAAGGUUCUAUGAAGAAUCGUUUUGAACAUUUUUUUAACAUGAAAAUAAGGAAAAAUAAGUCAUGAAAUCCCUCAGCUGAAGAACCUGUCAUUCUACCGAUAUCAGUAAGAAGCUGACGGUGCUGUAGAUCCACAGAGCUUUAAUCAUCACUCAUUACUCCAUAAUGAAUAGUCUGUCUCUAAUACCCCAUCCACGUGCUGAUCUCGCCAGAGAUUGUCUUUAAGAGCUUUUAAAUGAUCAGGAUCCGUGUCAAUAAGAGCGCAUGCCACUGGGCUUAAAUCUUAAAGUUAAUUAAAGCAAACAAAACGUCAUUAGUGUUAAACACAGAGCUGAUUCUUUAUCGAUGAGAGGAAUUCAUCAUCCAUCAUCAACACCAUUAUAUACCACUGCUCUCACAAUCAUUUGAGAAUGGUGUCAAAAAAAACAAGAUGUUUUCAAUAAUUAACAGCCAUUUUGCACUCAUAAUGUAUUUGAGAAACAUGCCUCUGUUUAACGCUCCUGUACAUGACGGCCUCUCUAAUGCACAAACGUCACUGUUCACGCUCACAUCCGGUCACUUUUUACGACAAUGUCACUUAAAGAUGACAUCAUUCUGUUGAUAAAGUCUUCAGCAUGGUUUUUGUCUGGUGUCGUUCUACCACAUAGAAACAGAGAUAUAGUAAGUUAC
ensembl:lncRNA